CAUUAGUUGCAUAAGGGGUAUCUCAGAGUAAGCCCAUUGUGUGCUAAUUUUCUAUUUUAGAUAAUCAGUUUGGCCAUCCAGAAUGGAAAGAAGAAGAAAAGAAAAGGCUUGACACUCAGUGGCAGACAUGUAAAAAUUACUGCGUGCCCCCCAGAGACAAAGGGAACCAACAGUUGAGAGUCAG
rnacentral:lncRNA from 1 species